rnacentral:snoRNA from 1 species
GGUCAAUGAUGAGAUGUAAAAGGUCUGAUGCCAGUGACCCCAGUUACCCUUUAAGCUCCCAGUAAUUCCUUCUGUGUUCCCAGCAUACUCUAGUUGUGUGGUGCUGGUUGCAGGGGUUCCUGACAAAUGGGACAAUGUCAUCUUUGUGUCUCCCCAAGAAAAUGGGGCAUAGUGAUGGUGAAUGUUCAACAUACCCCCCCCNCCUCCCAAAAGGAGCAUGGGGUUCUGGAGUUAUUGACUGGCACGUGAUCUCAAGUUUUCAAGCUGAGACC